UACGUAGGGGGGCGAGCGUUGUCCGGAGUUACUGGGCGUAAAGAGCUCGUAGGCGGUCUGUCGCGUCUGCUGUGAAAACUCGGGGCUUAACCCCGGGCCUGCAGUGGGUACGGGCAGACUAGAGUGCGGUAGGGGAGACUGGAAUUCCUGGUGUAGCGGUGAAAUGCGCAGAUAUCAGGAGGAACACCGGUGGCGAAGGCGGGUCUCUGGGCCGUAACUGACGCUGAGGAGCGAAAGCAUGGGGAGCGAACAGG
rnacentral:rRNA from 1 species